rnacentral:rRNA from 1 species
CGGGGUGCAGGAGGCGCGAAAACUUUACAAUGCCGGCAACGGCGAUUAGGGAACCUCGAGUGCCAGGUUACAAAUCUGGCUGUCGUGAUGCCUAAAAAGCAUUGCAUAGCAAGGGCCGGGCAAGACCGGUGCCAGCCGCCGCGGUAACACCGGCGGCUCGAGUGGUAACCGUUAUUAUUGGGUCUAAAGGGUCUGUAGCCGGCCGGGUAAGUCUCUUGGGAAAUCUGGCAGCUUAACUGUCAGGCUUUCAGGAGAUACUGCCUGGCUCGAGGCCGGGAGAGGUGAGAGGUACUUCAGGGGUAGGGGUGAAAUCUUGUAAUCCUUGAAGGACCACCAGUGGCGAAGGCGUCUCACCAGAACGGACCUGACGGCAAGGGACGAAAGCUAGGGGCACGAACCGGAUUAGAUACCCGGGUAGUCCUAGCCGUAAACGAUACUCGCUAGGUGUCGGCCACGGUGCGACCGUGGUCGGUGCCGUAAGGAAGCCGUGAAGCGAGCCACCUGGGAAGUACGGCCGCAAGGCUGAAACUUAAAGGAAUUGGCGGGGGAGCAC